rnacentral:rRNA from 1 species
GACGGAGGGGGCAAGCGUUGUUCGGAAUUAUUGGGCGUAAAGGGCGCGUAGGCGGACUGGCCAGUCUGACGUGAAAUCUCCACCGCUCACCGGGGAGGGGCCGUUGGAAACUACCAGUCUUGAGUUCGGCAGAGGGCCAUGGAAUUCCGCAUGUAGCGGUGGAAUGCGUAGAUAUGCGGAAGAACACCGGUGGCGAAGGCGGUGGCCUGGGCCGAAACUGACGCUGAGGCGCGAAAGCCAGGGGA